rnacentral:lncRNA from 12 species
AGAAAUGGCAAGUGUCCACCAUGACGCUUGGGGGCCAGAACCACAUAUUGUGGUACCUUUGGAUCUUCUGAAACUUUCAUCUGUUCUAUCUAACUCAGGCAGUUGAGUCCCUCCUCACCUCGCAUGACACCUAUUAUCCCAUUUUUAUACAUGCCAAUAUCUCUCUCUGGGAUGCUCUCCCUUUCUGCCACAACCCUGCUGGUCCAGGCAACACCCCAUUAAAAAUCAUGCUUAAAAUAUAUUGCAGAAUCUGAAGUUUCAAACUGUCUUCGAUAAGAAAAAAAUCAAUUUGCCUUCUGCUUCUUUCUUGCUAGAUUUAGAAGGAGACAUUUGGCCCAUUCUUCUAGGAAGGAUGACUUUCUCCAGGAUGGAAGACAAACAUUCUAAAACAGACAUGAUCACUGUCUUCCUGCUUAGAAUCUUAAAAAAAAAAAAAUGUUUGCUUAAUGAAUGAAUAGAAACUUUUUCCUUAACCUAGAAUUCUUGCAGCCAUCCCUUGCUAUUUUUCCUGCACCUGAAUGAUGGAGCCCUGUGGAGAAAAAUCGCCUAAUGGUGUUGAUUGAUGUCCUGACAAGUGUAGAAGGAUGUGAACAUGUUUUGAUAGGUACACUCUACUUGCUUGACUUUGUCUUUGCUACACUGGAUGGUGCCUUCCAGAAAUGGUGAUCAGCCUGUUGUGUAUCCCAAGAACUGAGCUUGAGGAAGGAGGAUGUAUUUUCAUAGUGUUAGCAGCUGGAACUCCUUUUAACAGGCAGUCAGGGGGGAAGUCAUCAUUUUCUUAAAGGUGGCAUACCUUCAUUUCAAGAACACCAGCAUUUCAUACAGUGUAGUGUGAGAAGCCCAAAUCUAAAGAGAGAGGUAAAGAAACUGUAUGAACAGGAAUCAAAGAAGAGCAGGCGGUGAUUUCCAUGGAUCUAAGACAAUACAAACUACACAGACGGAAAUCCUGAAAGACAAAAGUAAAAGAAUGUCCUGGAAAUUGUUUUAGGUAACAAAAAUCACUCUGGAAAACCAGCAGAAUAAUCCCCCCACCUAGACCACCCUGCCUCCCUUAGACAUGCCGCAAAAGAUCUAAGCAGACGGUAUUAAUAUUUACAAUAAAUUUUCUUUGUGCAGUAACA